GACGAACGCUGGCGGCGUGCCUAAUACAUGCAAGUAGAACGCUGAAGGAGGAGCUUGCUUCUCUGGAUGAGUUGCGAACGGGUGAGUAACGCGUAGGUAACCUGCCUGGUAGCGGGGGAUAACUAUUGGAAACGAUAGCUAAUACCGCAUAAUAGCAGUUGUUGCAUGAUAACUGUUUGAAAGGUGCAAUUGCACCACUACCAGAUGGACCUGCGUUGUAUUAGCUAGUUGGUGGGGUAACGGCUCACCAAGGCGACGAUACAUAGCCGACCUGAGAGGGUGAUCGGCCACACUGGGACUGAGACACGGCCCAGACUCCUACGGGAGGCAGCAGUAGGGAAUCUUCGGCAAUGGACGGAAGUCUGACCGAGCAACGCCGCGUGAGUGAAGAAGAUUUUCGGAUCGUAAAGCUCUGUUGUAAGAGAAGAACGAGUGUGAGAGUGGAAAGUUCACACUGUGACGGUAUCUUACCAGAAAGGGACGGCUAACUACGUG
rnacentral:rRNA from 1 species